rnacentral:lncRNA from 1 species
GACGAAGAGAAAAACUGUCGAAAUGAUAUUUAAAGGUGGCAUUCCUUGCUAUCUGCUAUUUCGUUAGCAACCCCUGUCAUUUUACCACCUCGUUGAGCUCUGAUUGAGUGCUUAAGUGGCUUUCUUCACCGAGGUCGUGUGCACUGAGAAGCUGCCUUAUGCAGUGACACAGUGCGGAUUUCUAGAUAGUCUAACCUGGGCUGUGGAGGCCUCAUGCGUGUGUGGCAGCGGAAACUAGCAGACCUGGGCUGUGGUGCAGGACCCAUUCAAGCAGGGAGCAAAGGAAGCAAGGAAUUCCCCCAAUUUGUUAUUUUCUUGGUGACUACACUUUUAGAGGUGAAGUAGGAAGGGUCGUGUAAAUUGGCCACAACCAUUUAGCCUUUGCUUUCUGUGCCCGUAAAGGUUCACGCUGUGAUACAAUUAAAGGUCGACACGGUAAAAAACAACCACCACAAAGCCACUGCCUGCCACCAACGCUAAAACCUUGGGUCCAGAAUGUUCUGAGGUGAGAAAUGCCUUUCAGCACAGUUUGCCACUGUUAGAAAAGAGAUGCCCGUGUGUCUGUCAUCUCCCAGUUCUGUUAAACAGCAGGCUUUUGCUGAGGCCUGUUUAUCUAGCUGCAGAAUGUGCAGCCCAGUCUGCUGGUUAACCCCUCCUUCGUUUUGUUCCUCUUUUCCACUUUCAGAUUUCGUAAUGAAUACAUAGGCAGUCCUCAGAGGGUGGGAAAGAGAGACAUUUGCAUCAGUAGACCCUGACCAGCUCAGCCCUGAUAAAAAGGACCAGCAGUUGUAAGAAGAAAUAAAAGACUGUUCACUAAAAUAA